UACGAAGGGGGCUAGCGUUGUUCGGAAUCACUGGGCGUAAAGCGCACGUAGGCGGAUUUGUAAGUCAGGGGUGAAAUCCCGGGGCUCAACCUCGGAACUGCCUCUGAUACUGCAAGUCUCGAGUCCGGAAGAGGUGAGUGGAAUUCCUAGUGUAGAGGUGAAAUUCGUAGAUAUUAGGAAGAACACCAGUGGCGAAGGCGGCUCACUGGUCCGGUACUGACGCUGAGGUGCGAAAGCGUGGGGAGCAAACAGG
rnacentral:rRNA from 2 species